GACGAACGCUGGCGGCGUGCUUAACACAUGCAAGUCGAACGGAAAGGCCUCUUUCGGGGGGUACUCGAGUGGCGAACGGGUGAGUAACACGUGAGUAACCUGCCCUUGACUUUGGGAUAACUUCAGGAAACUGGGGCUAAUACCGGAUAGGAGCUCCUGCUGCAUGGUGGGGGUUGGAAAGUUUCGGCGGUUGGGGAUGGACUCGCGGCUUAUCAGCUUGUUGGUGGGGUAGUGGCUUACCAAGGCUUUGACGGGUAGCCGGCCUGAGAGGGUGACCGGCCACAUUGGGACUGAGAUACGGCCCAGACUCCUACGGGAGGCAGCAGUGGGGAAUAUUGCACAAUGGGUGCAAGCCUGAUGCAGCAACGCCGUGUGCGGGAUGACGGCCUUCGGGUUGUAAACCGCUUUCGCUCAUGACGAAGCUUUGUGUGACGGUAGUGGGUAAAGAAGCACCGGCUAACUACGUG
rnacentral:rRNA from 1 species